CAUUGUUUCAAGUUUUCGGACGAGAAAUGGUGGAGGAGAGUGGCGGAAGGGUGAGUAACGCGUGGAUAACCUACCCCCGAGUUGGGGACAACCUCACGAAAGCGGGGCUAAUACCGAAUGUGGUCUUGCCGUCAUGCGGUGAUGAUCAAAGAUGGGGAUCCUUCGGGACCUAUCGCUUGGGGCGGGGUCCGCGUGCCAUCAGCUUGUUGGUGAGGUAACGGCUCACCAAGGCGACGAUGGGUAGCCGGUCUGAGAGGAUGGUCGGCCACACUGGGACUGAGACAUGGUCCAGACUCCUACGGGAGUUAGCAUCAGGGAAUCUUGCUCAAUGAGCGCAAGCUUGAAGCAGCGACGCCGCGUGUGGGAUGAAGGCCUUCGGGUCGUAAACCACUGUCAGGAGGGACGAAGAUCUGACGGUACCUCCAAAGGAAGCCCCGGCUAACUACGUGCCAGCAGCCGCGGUAAAACGUAGGGGGCCAGCGUUGUCCGGAAUUACUGGGCGUAAAGAGCGCGUAGG
rnacentral:rRNA from 1 species